UACGUAGGGAGCAAGCGUUGUCCGGAAUUAUUGGGCGUAAAGCGCGCGUAGGCGGUUACUCAAGUCGGAUGUGAAAGCCCUCGGCUUAACUGAGGAAGUGCACCCGAAACUGAGUAGCUAGAGUACCAAAGAGGGUCGCGGAAUUCCCGGUGUAGAGGUGAAAUUCGUAGAUAUCGGGAGGAACACCGGUGGCGAAGGCGGCGACCUGGGUGGAUACUGACGCUGAGGCGCGAAAGCGUGGGGAGCAAACAGG
rnacentral:rRNA from 1 species